GGUUAGACAUUGUAAUCAGCUGUGGUGUAAGUUAGGGUUUGUGGAGCACUAUAAAUAAGUGUAGUGACCGAUUCGAUGAGGCGAUCUAAGCAGCCGCUGCCAAACAUUAUCUUCUCAGUUCUAAACACCUGAUAGAUAUUGUAAUCAGGAUCCCGCUCCUUGGCUGUUUAUAAUCUUCUUUCUUAGUAUGUGCUUUUUUCAAAAUGACUUCACUCUUUAAUCUGAAGUACCAUUGUUUAUCUGAACUUGCUUCUGUGAUUUGGAAAUGAUUUGGCAUCUGCUCUCGAUGAUUGAACUUCAUCUACAAGUUUCAGCCUUGUCUGAAUGUCGAUGAUGGAAACUAAUUUUGUUCUGAGAGGGCAAUUUUCUUUAUGCAUCUUUUACGUUUUUAAUCCAGCGUUUCGUAUCGCUUUCAGCGAUGUUGUAGUGGGAAAAAAAAUCUAUUGUUAAAAUCAAAUACAAAAUAACCAUUAAAUAUAUUCACUAUAUAGUAUAUUUUUUAAAAUAAAUUUGAUAUUUUCAAAUUUCUUAACAAUUAAUAGAAAUAUUCUUAUAUCAAAAGAAGAAUGUUUUUAAAAUGUCAAUAAUAAUAUAUUUACUAAUAUUUAGAAGAAGUGAUGAACAACAUAAUACAUAAUUAUUUAUGAAAUUAUUUAUUUAAUUAAUUUAGUAUAAAAAUAAUAACUUUUGUUCAUUUGUUAAAUUGCACUUGAACAAGUGAUUCAAUCCUGUGUAUGUAUUUUUUGUUUAACAACUAGAAUGUUACCUCUGCUUCACGAUUUUUUAAUUUUUAUGAAAAAUAAAUUAAAAAUUUUAUCUGUUUUAGUUUUUAAUUUUUUUUAGAUUAAAAAAAG
rnacentral:lncRNA from 1 species